rnacentral:rRNA from 1 species
GAUGAACGCUGGCGGCGUGCCUAAUACAUGCAAGUCGAGCGAACGGACGAGAAGCUUGCUUCUCUGAUGUUAGCGGCGGACGGGUGAGUAACACGUGGAUAACCUACCUAUAAGACUGGGAUAACUUCGGGAAACCGUAGCUAAUACCGGAUAAUAUUUUGAACCGCAUGGUUCAAAAGUGAAAGACGGUCUUGCUGUCACUUAUAGAGGGAUCCGCGCUGCAUUAGCUAGUUGGUAAGGUAACGGCUUACCAAGGCAACGAUGCAUAGCCGACCUGAGAGGGUGAUCGGCCACACUGGAACUGAGACACGGUCCAGACUCCUCCGGGAGGCAGCAGUAGGGAAUCUUCCGCAAUGGGUGAAAGCCUGACGGAGCAACGCCGCGUGAGUGAUGAAGGUCUUCGGAUCGUAAAACUCUGUUAUUAGGGAAGAACAUAUGUGUAAGUAACUGUGCACAUCUUGACGGUACCUAAUCAGAAAGCCACGGCUAACUACGUG